UACGGAGGAUGCAAGCGUUAUCCGGAUUUAUUAGGUUUAAAGGGUGCGUAGGCGGGAGCUUAAGUCAGAGGUGAAAUCCCACAGCUUAACUGUGGAACUGCCUUUGAUACUGGGUUUCUUGAAUGAAGUAGAGGUAUGCGGAAUGUGUAAUGUAGCGGUGAAAUGCUUAGAUAUUACCCAGAACACCGAUUGCGAAGGCAGCAUACUGGACUUUGAUUGACGCUGAUGCACGAAAGCGUGGGUAUCGAACAGG
rnacentral:rRNA from 1 species